UUCUUCUGCCACCGAAUACAUUAGCAUGGGAUAAUGGAAUAGGACCCUGUCCUCCUAUUUUGCGUGUUGGUUUUCGAGGACCGGGUAAUGAUUAAUAGGGAUAGUUGGGGGCAUUAAUAUUUAAUUGUCAGAGGUGAAAUUCUUGGAUUUAUGAAAGAUUGACUUCUGCGAAAGCAUCUGCCAAGGAUGUUUUCAUUAAUCAAGAACGAAAGUUAGGGGAUCGAAGACGAUCAGAUACCGUCGUAGUCUUAACCAUAAACGAUGCCGACCAGCGAUUAGGAGACGUUGAAUACAAAACACCACCGUCGGGUCGGCCGUCCUUGGCCGUCGUGCGCGGCGACGCGCGCGGCGGCGAGGGCGGUGUCUGCCCGACGGCCCGGUGAAUGACUCCCUA
rnacentral:rRNA from 1 species